UACGUAGGGGGCAAGCGUUGUUCGGAAUUACUGGGCGUAAAGGGCGCGUAGGCGGCAUGGCAAGUCGGAAGUGAAAGCCCGGGGCUCAACCCCGGAACUGCUUACGAAACUGCCAAGCUAGAGUACGGAAGGGGCAACUGGAAUUCCCAGUGUAGCGGUGAAAUGCGUAGAUAUUGGGAAGAACACCGGAGGCGAAGGCGGGUUGCUGGGCCGAUACUGACGCUGAGGCGCGAAAGCCAGGGGAGCAAACGGG
rnacentral:rRNA from 1 species